AUUGAACGCUGGCGGCAUGCCUUACACAUGCAAGUCGGACGAGUGGCGAACGGGUGAGUAAUAUCUCGGAACGUACCGGGUGAUGGGGGAUAACUACUGGAAAGAUUAGCUAAUACCGCAUACCAUCAGAGGGGCCGAUAACGGAUUAGCUAGUUGGUGGGGUAAAGGCCUACCAAGGCGACGAUCAAUAGCGGGUCUGAGAGGAUGAUCCGCCACACGGGAACUGGGACACGGACCAGACUCCUACGGGAGGCAGCAGUGGGGAAUUUUGGACAAUUGGCGCAAGCCUGAUGCAGCCAUGCCGCGUGUAUGAAGAAGGCCUUCGGGUUGUAAAGAACUUUUGGCAGGGAGGCGGUACCCGAAGAAUAAGCACCGGCUAACUCCGUGCCAGCAGCCGCGGUAAUUC
rnacentral:rRNA from 1 species